AUGCAUUUCCACAAUAAAGAUGGGAAAUGGAUACAUCGUUGUCGUCCUUCAGUGAGCAGCCGAGGAGGAGCUCCUCCAUGCUGAUGAUGUGGAAGACAGAUACCCUGUCCGCGACGCCUGGUUCUGGCCUCAUAUACAUUGACUUCCUAUGUCAUCAGCAAAUGCAGUGGAGAAGAAGCCGGUUCACCACAUGAUCAUUUAAUUUGUUAUUGUUUUUUAACUAUUCCCUGUUGCAUGUAUAAUCAGAAAAAAUAAAACUCCUCCUUUCGGCCCAUACUAGGAGUCUGGAAGUGAUACUUUUGUGAGGAGUGCUGGAACAUGACUGGAUCAAGCGAGACAGAGAACAAUGGAUGAAAGAAAGAGAUCAGAAAAGGGAUUCACUCCUGACCACCUCAUACAUAUAUACAUGUUAUGAAGAAAAGUUGCAGCUAUCCAUACAUCAUUAUUUAUGGCAGAAGGGAAAUCUACUGAAUCACAGUCACAUUUCCUAAAACUCUCGAAUUCCAACUUAACGGUGUUGAUGACCAUGAUGAAACUGUGAAAUAUUAAGCGGUACUUUUCCAUUGAUUUUUUCAUUCUCAUCGUAUCAUUGAUGUGACUGUGUGACUCAAGUUUUGAUUUCUCCCUCACCUUUUAAGUUCAAAGUAGUAUUCAGCAAGUUGUUGUGUCGAAUAUAAAUCUCUGAAACACUUGCUACAUAAAGGUUCAGUUAUAUCAUCAAUAAUGCCAAUGCUUCUGGCUGCUGUUGCUGGCUCCUAACAGCAAAAUCAAGUCUGGAAACACGUAUGGUAAUGGUGUAAAAAAAAUCGAGAGAGGUUUUGAGUAUGCUUUCUUAGCUAUGACACUUUGAUUUAGCUUACUUUGCUAGGAUACCAGAACUAGCACUCUACGAGUGAAAUAAUUUAUUUAUUUAGCACCAUUGUCAAAUUAUUACUUUGUAUUCCUGAAAUUUUAAUAUAACUGAAUGUGGUGAA